AUUGAACGCUGGCGGCAUGCUUUACACAUGCCAGUCGAACGGUAACAGGCCUUCGGGUGCUGACGAGUGGCGAACGGGUGAGUAAUGCAUCGGAACGUACCCAGAGGUGGGGGAUAACGCAGCGAAAGCUGUGCUAAUACCGCAUGUGAUCUGAGGAUGAAAGCGGGGGACCGAGCAGCAAUGUUUGGCCUCGCGCCUUUGGAGCGGCCGAUGUCGGAUUAGCUAGUUGGUGGGGUAAAGGCCUACCAAGGCGACGAUCCGUAGCUGGUCUGAGAGGACGAACAGCCACACUGGGACUGAGACACGGCCCAGACUCCUACGGGAGGCAGCAGUGGGGAAUUUUGGACAAUGGGCGCAAGCCUGAUCCAGCAAUGCCGCGUGCGGGAAGAAGGCCUUCGGGUUGUAAACCGCUUUUGGCAGGAACGAAACGGUGUCCGCUAAUACCGGGCGCUAAUGACGGUACCUGCAGAAUAAGCACCGGCUAACUACGUG
rnacentral:rRNA from 1 species